GUAGGGAAUAUUGCGCAAUGGGGGAAACCCUGACGCAGCGACGCCGCGUGAGUGAUGAAGGCCUUCGGGUCGUAAAGCUCUGUUGCAGGGGAAUAAAAAAAUGAAGGUACCCUGUGAGGAAGGAUCGGCUAACUUCGUGCCAGCAGCCGCGGUAAGACGAGGGAUCCUAGCGUUGCUCGGAAUCAUUGGGCGUAAAGAGGGCGUAGGUGGCUUGGUAAGUCAGGUGUGAAAGCCCAGGGCUCAACCCUGGAAGUGCAUUUGAUACUGCUGAGCUUGAGUGUCGGAGAGGUUACCGGAAUACCUGGUGUAGUGGUGAAAUACGUAGAUAUCAGGUGGAACACCGGAGGCGAAGGCGGGUAACUGGACGAACACUGACACUGAGGCCCGAAAGCGUGGGGAUCAAACAGGAUUAGAAACCCGAGUAGUCC
rnacentral:rRNA from 1 species